CCCUGGCUCAGGACGAACGCGGGCGGCGUGCCUAAUACAUGCAAGUCGAGCGGAUCUUGUUAGAAGCUUGCUUCUAACUUGGUUAGCGGCGGACGGGUGAGUAACACGUAGGUAACCUGCCUGUAAGAUCGGGAUAACUAUCGGAAACGGUAGCUAAGACCGAAUAAUUGAUUCUGGUGCAUGCCGGAAUCAUGAAACGCGGAGCAAUCUGUGGCUUAUAGAUGGGCCUGCGGCGCAUUAGCUAGUAGGUGAGGUAACGGCUCACCUAGGCGACGAUGCGUAGCCGACCUGAGAGGGUGAACGGCCACACUGGGACUGAGACACGGCCCAGACUCCUACGGGAGGCAGCAGUAGGGAAUCUUCCGCAAUGGACGCAAGUCUGACGGAGCAACGCCGCGUGAGUGAUGAAGGUUUUCGGAUCGUAAAGCUCUGUUGCCAAAGACGAACAGCUAGGAGAGUAACUGAUCUUAGCCUGACGGUAUUUGAGAAGAAAGCACCGGCUAACU
rnacentral:rRNA from 1 species